UUUAAAGUUAUAACUAAUCAUAUCCUGAAUUUUGUUGACUUACAAAAUAGCGUGUCAAAUGACGUUAUAAUUUUGUUAAUUUAAAAUAAAAAAUUUAAUGUCGGAAUACAAUUAGAGUAGUAUAAAAAUUGGAAUUUAAUUAGCGAAUUAUAAAAUAAUAGAGUGCAAUUGUAAAAAUAAAAAAAGAAAAAAUAUUUUUAUGAUUAAUUCAAAUAUUUUUUGGUUCAUAGUUAUUUUUAGAGUUUUAAAUGCCCAAAAAUGUGAUAAAUAUAUUUAUUUUCUGUAAAAUAUUCUAGAAAUAUUUUUGUUGUUGCCGAGCUAAACAAAGAAAUAAGGAAAAGUAGCAUAAUAGUUUGGGCAUGGACAUUCUGGAUUGGCUCUUUUCCUGUAGUGCAGCUUUAUUGAGAUGGGGUAAUGAGUUGCGAAACGUCCACAAGCAUGAGUUGGCUAUUGCAUACAAGUCAUGUGACAAUUAAGGGGCUCUUGUUUACUGGUUGAUGUUAAUCGGUUCAUGGAGGGCAAAGACCUUUUAGCUUAAAGAAGAUGAUAGAAACACCCGAUUUUUUCAUCUGGCUGCCACAAAUCGAAAGAAAAAGAACCCGUUCUCAUGGCUCAAAGAUUUUACGGGUCAAUGGGUUGAGGAUUCUGCAGAAUUACAAGAUGUUUGUUGGUGUUCCGGGCAGAUCAAGGGGAGGCUAUGGUGGUUAGAGGGGUGAAUGAGACUUAUGCACGAGUUUCAGGUCAACUCAUUAACAUGUCUAAAUCAUCAUGUUGCUUUUCGAGGAAUUUUAAUGUUAAGCAGAAAAAUAUUUUUUGUGGUAUUCUUGGAGUUGAAGAGAAGGAAGAUUUGGAGAAUUAUUUGGGGCUGCCUACUCGGGUGGGGUUGAAUAAGAAAGAAAUUCUUGGAUUCAUCAAAUACCGUCUUGUGCAACGUUUGAACUCAUGGAAGUAUAGAUAUCUUUCUCGGGCCGGUAAAGAGGUAAUACUCAAAACAGUUUUGCAAGCACUACCUAAUUAUGUAAUGAACUUGUUCUUGUUACCCAAGACGUUUUGUAAUGAAUUGCAGUAACUCAUGAAUAACUUCUGAUAGAGCAAAGAUGCGAAUCA